UAGGUUAUACUAAAGACCCGGACCACCUAACUACCUUGGAAUCUUUAAUUAUUAAAAGGCUGGUUCCCCCAUUGAAUAACAACACCUCGGCUUCACCUCUACAUCUGGCAUAGUCAACGUCUUGGACCUGGCUCUCUCAAAAAUCAUUCCUUGCUUUCCUUCCAUUCUAGUCGACUGAAGAUGCACAAAGUUAAUGUGCGAAACGUUUUUAUAAUAAAUCUUGGCCUUCAUCUUUAGUAUCAAUGGACCUCCUGAACCUCUUAUGUCUGCGCUCCUGUAUACCUCUUAUGUCCGAAGAUGAUACAGCACUUGUUCUUCGCUCUCCUGUUCGCCUUUCGCCUCCGACUCCGAAGGAUUCACCAUUUUGCUCAACUGCUGAGGCACCGUUAUCCACCAACUACCCUGGCUACCUCUCGUCAAUUAGAGAAGACUACACUCAGACUCGAAAAAGCGCGAUGCGACCUGGAUUUUCUUCAGUAUUGUGAACUCAACGAUGUAUAUCCGAAAUUCGUCAGAUUCAAGCUCUACAAAUCAUCGCUAUACUCUACGGAAUUUUACAGGGAUGCGCUCAAAACUACUGAAGAAAGAAAUCGAUACGAAAACUGCGAUUGUCCAGAAGCUCUCUUCAACCGUUACACAACUCAAGAACCAAUUAUUCUCUGAUCUGUCAUUAUUGGACCGUUUAUUGUAUCAGAAACUGUUUUAUAAUGUAAUUAAUGAAUUUAUU